GGCUUCGUAACUCGGUUGGUAGAACAUUUGCGGUGUUUGGGGAUGUUUCUGUCGCUGAUUCGAAUCCAGCCGAAGUCC